rnacentral:rRNA from 1 species
GUCCACGCCGUAAACGAUGGAUGCUAGAUGUUUCCGGUAUUGACCCCGGAGGUGUCGUAGCUAACGCGUUAAGCAUCCCGCCUGGGGAGUACGGCCGCAAGGCUAAAACUCAAAGGAAUUGACGGGGCCCGCACAAGCGGUGGAGCAUGUGGUUCAAUUCGACGCAACGCGAAGAACCUUACCUGGGUUGGAACCCUCCAGAAGUCCGCAGAGAUGUGGAUGUGCUCGCAAGAGAACUGGAUGUCCAGGUGCUGCAUGGCUGUCGU